CCCCUCUCAGGAUCACACCUGGAGACUUUCCAGUACUCUACCAGUCUUGGCUAUGGGAGGGAGGGUCAAGCAGAAGCAUACCCAUUCCAUUCCAUUCCUAGCCUGGGCCACGGUUAGCGAGUGGAAGGCAAUCUGCUACAAGU